rnacentral:lncRNA from 1 species
AUGCCGAAACGUAGGGUUACGUGGGGUGGAAAACUGCCAUCACCUGCCUUCCACCAUGCUGGAGAAUCUGACCUAAGCUUUGCUGAGCCUUUUUUCAAAAAAAGAAAGGCUGAUAUGUCUGUCUUGACAGAGCAGAAUGAAGAUGGCGAUGAGUUUGAUUCUACCUUUGACAUGGAGAUGAACCAGAGCAAUCUGACUGUGCGUGGUUUUGCAGAAAGGUGAACAUGGAUUAUUGCCAUUUUAUCUUUACACAUUCCUUACUGCUUGUUGUCCUUCAUACUCAUGUUCUUGCAUUCUCUUAUUUUCUAGUGAAUUUUUAUCUCCAAACCAACUGAACAAAUUGUCUGAGAAGGUGUCCUGCCUGGAGCUCCAGCUGGAAAAUGAGACUCAGCAGAAGCAGGAGGCCAUGGAGGAAGUGGAGACUUUUCAGAGGAGGGUUGCAGAACUGGAGAAGCAGCUAGAAGGAAAGUCACUAAUGCCUGCUGAUGCACAGCUGGAAAAGGAGACUCAGCAGAACCAGGAAGACAUGGAGGAAGUGGAGACUUUUGAGAUGAAGGUUGCUGAACUGGAGAAGCAGUUAGAAAAGUCUCAAAUGCCUGCUGAUGCACAGGAGCAGGUUGGUGAUCACCAAUUCCUUCUCACUGUUUUAUUGUGCAGAAUAUUGAAUCCUUUAAUCUAAAUGCAAAAAAUGUAUAACUCAUUUUUUUACAGAUGAAAAAGGGAUUUGAAGAGACCAUUCAACUCUGUGAGACGUUGGUGUCUGAGAAGGAAAUGGUUGCUACUGAGCGUGAUUAUCUCAAGCAGGAGCUCAACAUCCUAAUGGAACAGACUGAAAACUUGAAAAAAGAAAAGGCUGCACUUCUUCAGGAGAUGGAGGAGAAGAAAGAGAUGGAUGAGUUCAAUUCUUUGGAAGAGGAGAGCAAAAGAGAAUAUGAGGUUAUAGACUGCUGCAUAGAUUGCCUAGAGAUGUCAAAGUUUUAUAACUUAUUUCAAUGUAGUAAUUAAAAUUGGAAUGGGCUAUGUAUGGUAUAAGCCAAUUGCAAGCACAUAAAUAUAUCUUAGGGCCUUUUUAGAAGUCAUUAAGAUGACUAGCACUUCUGAAAUGCUCCCUUGUUGGUUUGUAGCUUUGCACUCAU